AUCGAGCUGCUUUUGAACGACCGGCGCACGGGUGCGUAACGCGUAUGCAAUCUGCCCUGUACUGAGGGAUAGCCCGGGGAAACUCGGAUUAAUACCUCAUGGUAUCACAGAUAGGCAUCUUGAAGUGAUUAAAGAUUUAUCGGUACAGGAUGAGCAUGCGUAAGAUUAGAUAGUUGGUGAGGUAAUGGCUCACCAAGUCGACGAUCUUUAGGGGGUCUGAGAGGAUGAUCCCCCACACUGGUACUGAGAUACGGACCAGACUCCUACGGGAGGCAGCAGUAGGGAAUAUUGGUCGAUGGGCGAAAGCCUGAACCAGCCAUGCCGCGUGCAGGAUGACGGCCUUCUGGGUUGUAAACUGCUUUUAUACGGGAAGAAAAAGGCCUUGCGAGGCAAAUUGCCGGUACCGUAUGAAUAAGCACCGGCUAACUCCGUGCCAGCAGCCGCGGUAAUACGGAGGGUGCAAGCGUUGUCCGGAUUUAUUGGGUUUAAAGGGUACGUAGGCGGAUUUUUAAGUCCGUGGUGAAAGCCUACAGCUUAACUGUAGAACUGCCAUGGAUACUGGAAAUCUUGAAUUCAAUUGAGGUAAGCGGAAUUUAUGAUGUAGCGGUGAAAUGCUUAGAUAUCAUAAUGAACACCUAUUGCGAAGGCAGCUUGCUGGACUUGGAUUGACGCUGAGGUACAAAAGCGUGAGGAGCGAACCGAAUAGAUACCCUGGUAGUCCACUCCGUAACGAUGAUUACUCGCUGCUGG
rnacentral:rRNA from 1 species